rnacentral:rRNA from 1 species
CCUACGGGAGGCGAGCAGUGGGGAAUAUUGCACAAUGGGCGCAAGCCUGAUGCAGCCAUGCCGCGUGUAUGAAGAAGGCCUUCGGGUUGUAAAGUACUUUCAGCAGUGAGGAAGGUGGGUAUGUUAAUAGCAUACUCAUUUGACGUUAGCUGCAGAAGAAGCACCGGCUAACUCCGUGCCAGCAGCCGCGGUAAUACGGAGGGUGCGAGCGUUAAUCGGAAUUACUGGGCGUAAAGCGCAUGCAGGUGGUUUGUUAAGUCAGAUGUGAAAGCCCGGGGCUCAACCUCGGAAUUGCAUUUGAAACUGGCAAACUAGAGUACUGUAGAGGGGGUAGAAUUUCAGGUGUAGCGGUGAAAAUGCGUAGAGAUCUGAAGGAAUACCGGUGGCGAAGGCGGCCCCCUGGACAGAUACUGACACUCAGAUGCGAAAGCGUCGGGGAGCCCAAACAGGAUUACGUAUACCCUCGGUAG